GGGAAGGGCUGUGGCUUAGGGGCAGAGCAUCUGUUUUGUGUGCAUAAGGCCCAGAUUCGAAUCCUGCAACUUCCCA